UCACUUACAAACACGAACGCACAAGAGAGUUAGAAGAGACAUGGAGCAAUAAUAACUCAUCGGCAUAACAGGAAGCGAGAAAUGAAGUCGAAAUACUCAUCAUCAUGGGUUCUCUGCACCAUUCUCUGCCUCUCAACACUAUCCCACAGCCUCUCGGAUCCAAGAAUCUCGGAGGCAGGGCUCUACUGCGGCAAAAACAGAGCCCCACUGAAAGCGAACUACAUCCCAAGCUUCAUCAAGGAAAUGGAAACCCUCUCUCAGCAAGUAACAGACCACAACUGGGGCUCCCACUUCAUCAACAUCUCAGCCAUUCCCAUCUUCGGCUUAGCCCAAUGUUUCCACGACCUCUCCCACACCGAUUGCCUCCUCUGCUACGCCGCAAGUCGCACCAAGCUCCCUCGCUGCCUCCCUUCCGUCUCCGCUCGCAUCUACCUCGACGGUUGCUUCCUCCGCUACGACAACUACAACUUCUACUCCGAAAGCACCGACCCUUCAAGAGACACUGUCAACUGCACCUCCCAGUACGGCAUCGUUUCUGAUGCAGCUCAGAGGGUGGAGCUUCAAAUGAGUGUUGGAAGACUUGUUGAUAGUGUCACCGCGCUGGCUGUGGCUAAAGCUCGUGGUUUUGCUGUUGGGGAUGUCAAAGGGGUUUAUGCGUUGGCUCAGUGCUGGAACACUGUUGGGAGUGAGGGGUGUAGAGAGUGCUUGAGGAAAGCUGCAAAGGAGGUGAAAACGUGCUUGCCAAAAAGAGAAGGGAGGGCCUUGAAUGCUGGGUGUUAUUUGAGGUAUUCUACUCACAAGUUUUAUAAUGAAGAAGAUGCUGCACGUGGUGGAAAAGGGUCCUUUAGAAGACGAGGAGUUAUAAUAGCUGAAGUGUUAGCAGCAGCUGCAGUUUUAAUGCUCGCUCUCUCUGCCUCUUAUGCAGCCUUCACAAGAUUGUCAAAGAUUAAAAGAGAAAACAAAAAUCUUGGUCCGAUUUCCUCUUCCAUAAGCAAAUCUAGGUUGAAUUACAAAUACGAGACUCUUGAGAAGGCCACAGAUUAUUUCAACUCUUCCAGAAAAAUUGGACAAGGAGGGGCUGGUUCUGUUUUCAAAGGUAUUCUUCCAAGUGGGAAAGUUGUUGCCGUUAAGAGAUUGAUCUUCAAUAACAGGCAAUGGGUGGAUGAGUUCUUCAAUGAAGUGAAUUUGAUUAGCGGAAUUGAACACAAGAACCUUGUCAAACUAUUGGGUUGUAGCAUUGAAGGCCCUGAGAGCCUCCUUGUGUACGAGUACUUACCCAAAAAGAGUUUGGACCAAUUUAUCUUUGUUUCAGGAAGGUGACAUGACACAUUAAUCUACUUUGCAGAAAAGAACAGAGCUCAGAUUCUAAAUUGGAAGAAGCGGUUUAAUAUCAUUCUUGGAACAGCUGAAGGGCUUGCAUAUCUUCAUGAAGGCACUAAAAUAAGAAUCAUCCAUAGAGACAUCAAAAGCAGCAAUAUUCUUCUGGACGAGAAUCUCACUCCUAAGAUUGCAGAUUUUGGCCUUGCCAGGUGUUUUGGUGCUGAUAAGUCCCAUUUGAGCACUGGAAUUGCUGGAACAUUAGGUUACAUGGCUCCAGAGUACCUAAUUCGAGGGCAACUUACAGAUAAAGCUGAUGUAUAUAGUUAUGGAGUACUUGUUCUGGAGAUCGUAAGUGGCAGGAGGAAUAACGUCUUCAGAGAGGACUCUGGCUCGCUACUACAAACUGUUUGGAAACUUUACCGAUCAAACACAUUAAAUGAAGCUGUGGAUUCUUGCUUGGGAGAUGAUUUUCCUGCAACUGAGGCAUCAAGGGUGUUUCGGAUUGCAUUGCUUUGCACACAAGCUUCUGCUUCCCUGAGGCCAUCCAUGUCGCACGUUGUUUUCAUGUUAAGUAAUUCAAAUGUGGAUGUUCCUACACCAAAUCAACCACCAUUUUUGAACACUGGAGUGCUUGACUCAGACAGCUCCAGUAAGUCUUAUAGCACAAGCAGCUUUAUAUCCAAUGCCUUAAAGAAGAUAGGAGUGUCCUACAGCUACUCGGAGUCCUCUAGUUCACGCAACUCAGAGGGGCCAUCAAGAAGUGCAGAAUCGAUUGUCCAAGGUUGAAGAUCUUUAAAAUCGCUUAUUGAAAGGGUUAGCAUGUGAGCAAGGGAACAGCAAUUCACUAGAAAAGGAGGCGGGGCAGCGGGGACCCAUGGGAACUGAAUCAACUGAUCAUGUCAUGUGUAAAUUGUGUAUUUAUAUUUCUAUCUAUUAAUUUUUAUAGGAUCCCCACUUAUCUGACGUCUAUUAAGCGAUGAAUAGAUACAAGAUUUACACACCACCUUAUCAUGUUCGCAACUUCGCAUUAAUGGAGGGAAAUCUUUUAUUGUAAUUAUAUGCAUUUAAGGUUGUUACCUAUCCAUUUAUUACAAAUCAACGUUGUUUG